GGAGAAGUAUCGAAGUGGUCAUAACGAGCACGACUGGAAAUCGUGUUGCCGUGAUGAGCGGCACGCGGGUUCGAAUCCCGCCUUCUCCGCCA
rnacentral:tRNA from 1 species